rnacentral:tRNA from 1 species
GGUGGUGGCUCAGCGGUAGAGCACUCGCCUAGCAUGCGUGAGGCCCUGGGUUCCAUCCUCAGCACCACCU